CCUCAAAUUGAAAGCCCAAAUCUGCUCUAAAACGAAAUCUAAACAUAGAUUAGUGAUCCUCAUCACGAAAGGAUUCUAAGGAAAAGAAGCCGGGGCAUCUAGUGGACAAACCGGUGUGGACGCUCGUUUGAAGGGCUCGCUUUGAAAGGUGAUUAGAAGUCAAGGAUGCGAUCAAGCGACAAGAUGAAUGAACCGAACACUCCAUUUCGAAGCUUCCGC